ensembl:lncRNA
GGCUUGGGUGGCUGCACCAACCUGGUGGGAGCAGCAUCGGGCAGGGGAGUGACCAGCCCAGAACCUCCUGUCCCACAUCCUGAGACCCGAGCAGCAGGACACCCUCUGGGAAGCUCUGCCAUCCACCCUCUCUGGGACCCACCUGCACAGGAGGCGGAAGGCAGACAAUGCAGCCAACCCUAUGCAAACACCAGAAAUUUCCAGAAUGUCGGUCCCCACCGUGGCGUGAUAGCCAGUCCCACAUACGGGUCUGUGGUGGAAGAAAAUCACCUGUGAGAAAGCAGCAGCACCAGACCCCGUUUCCAGCCCUCAGAUUAGGACCAGCCCCCGAGAGGGCCUAAAUCCUCUGAGCACUUCCUCCUCAGGACCACGGACAGCGCAGACACACCCCUCCUCUCUUUGGGGCCUGGGGAGUCCCUUCCUGUACAAUUACCUUGCAGGGAAAGCCCCAGCCCUGCCUGCAGGAGCCUGUGCUCCAGGCGAGACUGCCCUCGGUACUGGAGGGGCCCUGAGCACUGAUUUGUGUUACAAACCAGAAUUCCCAAAUGUCAGUGAAUUCUGCCGGGAGACCAGGUGACACUCAGACACAGGAAGAAAUUGCCCACGGCCCUCAGAUUAGGGCCUGGCCCUGUGGCCUCCACUAGCCCAGGACAGACACCUCAGUGCAGUGACCGCUGCAUUAAAGGCUGCCGGCCCAGCUGAACCAGACACGGACCGGGAAGGAAACCCCAGGCCUGCCCACAGGAGCAUGAGGCCAGGUGGCCAUGUGGGAGCAAAGAGGGUUAUUCUCCCAGGGGAGAAGAUUGAGGCCUGAACCCAGGAAGCAGAGAGGCCUCUGGCCUCCCCCACCCCACUCUGGGUGACCUUGGACCAGUCCUGCUCUGGGCUCAGUGUUCUCAGCUGUCAUGUGACCCUGCACUGGAUCUGAGGUAUGAAACAGCAGGUGCCCCCGGUAAGCCCCAACCCACCCCAGCCGGGCCUCCCACAGAGCUGGACUCCAACCUCCAGGUGUAAGUCAGAGAAGACAGCCACUCUGAGCUCUCGGCACCCAGGGGACUGACUGCAGGGACUCAGGAACAGGGCUUGGAAGACCCAAAAGGCCAGCGGGGAUGGCCGUCACCCAGACAGCAGCGACAGCAGGCUGGGAGCAGCCACAUAGCCACUCACUGGCACCCAGGAGGGCAGGGACCAGAAGCCUGUGCACUGGGGACCGGAGCCCUGGAGAUGGCACCGCCAGAACAGCCGCAGAAGGCUCAACGAGGGGAAGGCCCCUGUGCACCGCCUUCUGUCCUUCUGUCUCCCACUUCUGCCUUCCAUCUGCCAAACCCCACAGAAGCCAGCGGACCCCAGAGGACACAGCAGGGCCAGCCCCUGGACACAGGUCAGGGGAGGCAGAGGGGUCUAAGCACAGAUAAACCAGGCUAGAGCCGGGCGUGGGCCCUCGCUGUCUGGGAUCUCUGCAUGUCUGAGGGCUUGCUUUCCCAUUGCUGCCUCUAGUGACUUUAAAAAUCACUGUCUAACAACUAAGAUAUGCAAUUAUGUACUGGGGGGGAUUUGGGGAUAAAAAGAAAAAAAAAAGAUUGGCAACAGUUGUUAGCUCAGGUGCCAAUCUUUAAAAAAAAAAAAUCACCGUCUAAUGCCUGUCAAGUCAGUGCCUUAACCUGGAAUGAUGAGCAGGCCACCAGGGGCUCCCCUGCCUCACCCACCCCAAGAGGCUCCCUCUCACCAGCACCAGGAACUGGGGGCCUCAGGUCAGCGGGUCUGGCUGGAGCCUCUCAGAGGCCGUCACCUCUGGCCCCUCAGCCACAGGCUGAUCCAGGAGCCAUGGAGCAUAUUCUCGUAAAGGGACAAGUAAUGAAAGGACACCAGAGGGGCAGCAGACUAUGAGGAGUGGGCACAGCUUAGAAGGAUGUGGAGCGAGGGGUCCCAGCAGGGGAUGGGCAGCUGCGGGCAGAACCCUGGUCAGGGGCAGCACAAGUCUCAGAGAGGCUCAGGGCCUCUGCCCACAUGUUGGCUGGACCUGGGCUGGGCUGGACACCCUGGGCUGCAGUGGCUUUGUGGGCACCUCACACAUCUCCUCUGACAGCAGCACCCCCUGUUCCAAGAGGACCCAUCCCGACUCUGAGACCUGACUGGGCGGCCUCCUGGCAUGCUGGAUGCUGGAGUAGUCACGUGGUUUCUGGUGUGGUCCCCUGACCCUUGGUGGCCACAUUGACUUGUGGGACCUAGAUGGGACCGGGAGAUGGCUGGACAAGAAAGCCCCCCAGUUGGGUCUUCUCAUUCGGGGAAUCAGCCCAGGGAUCAAGGAAACAAAGGGGUGCACAUCAGGGGAGGAAAUUGGAGUCUGGCAGCUGCGUGUAUCCCCCACAGCCCCCAGGGGGCUGGAAUCAUUGCCCCUAGACUUGCAGUGUGAGCCCGCAGCCUCAGGGCCCUGAGACCCAGCAAGGGGUGUGGUGCCACUGCAGCUGAGUGACUUCUGAUCCAUACACUCAGUCCCAGACAGCACUCCACUCCUCGUCUCUCCCCAGCGGGAAGGAGGAAGCAGAGGGAAGUGUCCCCACGAUGAGACAUGCGCCACCCCUGACCCUGGUCCCAGGGCGGGGCCGCGGGAGCCCUCCCAGGACGGUGGGUGCGUGUGUCCACUCCUCAGGGUGGGCCGCGCAGGUGGGUCGUGGAGCUGCUGGGCCAGCUGCACCGCUGUGUGACUCCAGGACAGACUCGCGGGCGGACACCGCAGAGGCCACUGUGCACUGUCUGCGACCUGGGGAAGAGCAGCCUUCCUGGCCUCGAGCGAGCCCCUGGCUGAGCAACUUCCACAGCCCAGGGAGCCCUGGCGGAGGAGAGGGUUUUCUGAGCAGAGAAUGUUCCCGAGGACCCGGAGCUCAGCUCACAGGCAUCCCUCGAGGGAACGACUCAGAU